GUUGGAAAUUAAAUGUAAUUUCAUGGUCAGGGGCCAAGAGCAUGCAUAGGAACAUCAAUAUUCUCAGUUUACGAACAUUGCAAGUCAACGAACUUCAAAAUCAAAGAAUUUUCUAUUCUCGUUCUCAUCUUGAGUAUGGCUUCUUGAUUUUCACCAGCUGCCCUAGAAAUUUAUUGAGUUGGUCUGCGACAUAACCUCUGCCACUGAACACUUUCCUCCAUGAAAUCAUAGUCAUAUCUGACCACAAAGACGCACCCACAGUCCCUCGCGUCAU
rnacentral:misc_RNA from 1 species